AGAGGAGGCGCCGCGUGCGGCAUUCUCAUGAUGCCUUCACUGACACUAUGAGCGUCUGACUUGUACUCAACAAACCAACUUCCAGAGAGAGGCGUGGCUGUGCCGAGAAGCUUCGGGACUUUCCGGACGCACUCGAAGUGUUGUGAUACGACAGAGGGGUUUACCAACUGCACAGAGACGUUAACUACUUUACUUUAAACUUUUUUUUUUUUUUAAUAGAGAUUUUAAUAUUCAAAUAUGGUGGCUUAAGACACCUUAAAAAGGGAUGUCCACAGUGGGGGGAGGGGUUUGAGAAGA